rnacentral:rRNA from 1 species
CCUACGGGAGGCAGCAGUAGGGAAUCUUCCACAAUGGACGAAAGUCUGAUGGAGCAACGCCGCGUGAGUGAAGAAGGGUUUCGGCUCGUAAAGCUCUGUUGGUAGUGAAGAAAGAUAGAGGUAGUAACUGGCCUUUAUUUGACGGUAAUUACUUAGAAAGCUACGGCUAACUACGUGCCAGCAGCCGCGGGAAUACGUAGGUGGCAAGCGUUGUCCGGAUUUAUUGGGCGUAAAGCGAGUGGAGGCGGUACAAUAAGUCCGGUGUGAAAGCCUUCGGCUCAACCGGAGAAUUGCAUCAGAAACUGGUGAACUUGAGUGCAGGAGAGGGAAGUGGAACGCCAGGUGUAGCGGUGGAAUGCGUAGAUAUAAGGAAGAACACCAGUGGCGAAGGCGGCUCUCUGGUCUACAACUGACGCUGAGGCUCGAAAGCAUGGGUAGCGAACAGGAUUAGAUACCCGUGUAGUC